rnacentral:tRNA from 1 species
GCGGUUAUGCUGGAAUUGGUAGACAGGCACGGUUGAGGGCCGUGUGGGUUUUCCGUGAGAGUUCGAGUCUCUCUAACCGCACCA